rnacentral:rRNA from 1 species
GACGAACGCUGGCGGCGUGCCUAAUACAUGCAAGUAGAACGCUGAAGGAGGAGCUUGCUUCUCUGGAUGAGUUGCGAACGGGUGAGUAACGCGUAGGUAACCUGCCUGGUAGCGGGGGAUAACUAUUGGAAACGAUAGCUAAUACCGCAUAAGAGUAGAUGUUGCAUGACAUUUGCUUAAAAGGUGCAAUUGCAUCACUACCAGAUGGACCUGCGUUGUAUUAGCUAGUUGGUGAGGUAACGGCUCACCAAGGCGACGAUACAUAGCCGACCUGAGAGGGUGAUCGGCCACACUGGGACUGAGACACGGCCCAGACUCCUACGGGAGGCAGCAGUAGGGAAUCUUCGGCAAUGGACGGAAGUCUGACCGAGCAACGCCGCGUGAGUGAAGAAGGUUUUCGGAUCGUAAAGCUCUGUUGUAAGAGAAGAACGAGUGUGAGAGUGGAAAGUUCACACUGUGACGGUACCUUACCAGAAAGGGACGGCUAACUACGUG